GAUGAACGCUGGCGGCGUGCCUAAUACAUGCAAGUCGAGCGAACGGACGAGAAGCUUGCUUCUCAGAUGUUAGCGGCGGACGGGUGAGUAACACGUGGAUAACCUACCUAUAAGACUGGGAUAACUUCGGGAAACCGGAGCUAAUACCGGAUAAUAUUUUGAACCGCAUGGUUCAAAAGUGAAAGACGGUCUUGCUGUCACUUAUAGAUGGAUCCGCGCUGCAUUAGCUAGUUGGUAAGGUAACGGCUUACCAAGGCAACGAUGCAUAGCCGACCUGAGAGGGUGAUCGGCCACACUGGAACUGAGACACGGUCCAGACUCCUACGGGAGGCAGCAGUAGGGAAUCUUCCGCAAUGGGCGAAAGCCUGACGGAGCAACGCCGCGUGAGUGAUAAAGGUCUUCGGAUCGUAAAACUCUGUUAUUAGGGAAGAACAUAUGUGUAAGUAACUGUGCACAUCUUGACGGUACCUAAUCAGAAAGCCACGGCUAACUACGUG
rnacentral:rRNA from 1 species